UGCCAGCCGCCGCGGUAAUACGAAGGGACCUAGCGUAGUUCGGAAUUACUGGGCUUAAAGAGCUCGUAGGUGGUUAAAAAAGUUGAUGGUGAAAUCCCAAGGCUCAACCUGGGAACUGCGUUUAAUACUAGCAAGCUAGAGAAAUAGAGAGGAAAGUGGAACUCCCAGUGUAGAGGUGAAAUUCGUAGAUAUUGGGAAGAACACCAGUGGCGAAGGCGACUAACUGGGCCAUUUUUGACGCUGAGAUACGAAAGCGUGGGUAGCAAACAGGAUUAGAUA
rnacentral:rRNA from 1 species